CCGAAUGCCGUCAUCUUAUACUUGGGAGUCAGACUGUGGGUGAUAAGAUUCAUAGUCGAAAGGGCAACAGCCCAGAUCGUCAGCUAAGGUCCCUAAAUGUAAGUUAAGGGGUAAAGGAUGUGGGAUUGCACAGACAACCAGGAUGUUGGCUUAGAAGCAGCCACUCAUUCAAAGAGUGCGUAAUAGCUCACUGGUCGAGUGAUCCUGCGCCG
rnacentral:rRNA from 1 species